rnacentral:rRNA from 1 species
UACGAAGGGGGCUAGCGUUGUUCGGAAUCACUGGGCGUAAAGCGCACGUAGGCGGCUUUUUAAGUCAGGGGUGGAAUCCUGGAGCUCAACUCCAGAACUGCCUUUGAUACUGAGAAGCUUGAGUCCGGGAGAGGUGAGUGGAACUGCGAGUGUAGAGGUGAAAUUCGUAGAUAUUCGCAAGAACACCAGUGGCGAAGGCGGCUCACUGGCCCGGUACUGACGCUGAGGUGCGAAAGCGUGGGGAGCAAACAGG